rnacentral:rRNA from 1 species
CCUACGGGUGGCAGCAGUGAGGAAUAUUGGUCAAUGGGCUAAGGCCUGAACCAGCCAAGUCGCGUGAGGGAAGACGGUCCUAUGGAUUGUAAACCUCUUUUGUCGGGGAGCAACGAGGCCACGUGUGGACGAGAGGAGAGUACCUGAAGAAAAAGCAUCGGCUAACUCCGUGCCAGCAGCCGCGGUAAUACGGAGGAUGCGAGCGUUAUCCGGAUUUAUUGGGUUUAAAGGGUGCGCAGGCGGUCUGUUAAGUCAGCGGUCAAAGCCCGGGGCUCAACCCCGGCCCGCCGUUGAAACUGGCAGUCUCGAGUUGGAGAGAGGUAUGCGGAAUGCGCGGUGUAGCGGUGAAAUGCAUAGAUAUCGCGCAGAACUCCGAUUGCGAAGGCAGCAUGCCGGCUCCACACUGACGCUGAGGCACGAAAGCGUGGGUAUCGAACAGGAUUAGAUACCCCAGUAGUC